ACGAACGCUGGCGGCGUGCUUAACACAUGCAAGUCGAACGGAAAGGCCCUGCUUUUGUGGGGUGCUCGAGUGGCGAACGGGUGAGUAACACGUGAGUAACCUGCCCUUGACUUUGGGAUAACUUCAGGAAACUGGGGCUAAUACCGGAUAGGAGCUCCUGCUGCAUGGUGGGGGUUGGAAAGUUUCGGCGGUUGGGGAUGGACUCGCGGCUUAUCAGCUUGUUGGUGGGGUAGUGGCUUACCAAGGCAUUGACGGGUAGCCGGCCUGAGAGGGUGACCGGCCACAUGGGGACUGAGAUACGGCCCAGACUCCUACGGGAGGCAGCAGUGGGGAAUAUUGCACAAUGGGCGGAAGCCUGAUGCAGCAACGCCGCGUGCGGGAUGACGGCCUUCGGGUUGUAAACCGCUUUCGCCUGUGACGAAGCGUGAGUGACGGUAAUGGGUAAAGAAGCACCGGCUAACUACGUG
rnacentral:rRNA from 1 species